GUAGGGAAUCUUCCACAAUGGGCGAAAGCCUGAUGGAGCAACGCCGCGUGUGUGAUGAAGGGUUUCGGCUCGUAAAACACUGUUGUUAAAGAAGAACACGUAUGAGAGUAACUGUUCAUACGUUGACGGUAUUUAACCAGAAAGUCACGGCUAACUACGUGCCAG
rnacentral:rRNA from 1 species